rnacentral:tRNA from 1 species
UGGCUCAGAUGGCAAAGUGUCUGCCUGCAAUGCAGAAGACCCGGGUUCAAUCCCUGG